rnacentral:rRNA from 1 species
UACCCCGCAGCACAAGUGGUGGUCAUUAUUAUUGGGCCUAAAAGCGUCCGUAGCUGGCUUGUUAGAUGCCUGGGGUAAAUCGAUGCGCUUAACGCAUCGAAUUCCGGGUAGACCGGCAAGCUCGAGACCGGGAGAGGUGUAGGGUACUCGGGGGGUAGGGGUAAAAUCCUGUAAUCCUCCGGGGACGACCAGUGGCGAAGGCGCUACACUAGAAACGGCUCUGACAGUGAGG